rnacentral:rRNA from 1 species
UUGUCCUACGGGGCGCAGCAGUGGGGGAUAUUGCACAAUGGGGGAAACCCUGAUGCAGCGACGCCGCGUGAGCGAUGAAGUAUUUCGGUAUGUAAAGCUCUAUCAGCAGGGAAGAAAAUGACGGUACCUGACUAAGAAGCCCCGGCUAACUACGUGCCAGCAGCCGCGGUAAUACGUAGGGGGCAAGCGUUAUCCGGAUUUACUGGGUGUAAAGGGAGCGUAGACGGUUAAGUAAGUCUGGAGUGAAAGGCCGGGGCCCAACCCCGGGACUGCUCUGGAAACUAUUGAACUUGAGUGCAGGAGAG